AUCUGACAGGAUCAGUCUACACAAUUACAACAGUGGAGGACCUUGAAUGGACACAACUGUAAAAUUGAUGAAGUCUGACACACUCUGAACCCAAAGUUACAUAAUUCAAUAUUUAUAACAAGGUGGUCAGACUUCCAGCAGAGCCUUCACUCCAUGAGAAGGUCACAUGUUUGUUAUGUUGCUGCCCGCGUUUGGCGAGGGUCGAUGGCACAGAUGCUCUUCACGCUUUUUUUUUCUGCCUGUGACUUUAUGACUGGCGUUACUUUACUGAGUUGGACGGAGGAGGAGCUGCCGGGAUUCGACGGCUGGAGGCACAGUGCAACAUGACCUUCACUUUUCCGAAAAUGUGCUGGUUUUUUUUUUUGUUUUUUUUUAAAGAGCCCACCAAGGCCAACAUUGCCUGUGCCCGGGCACGGAUUCUUUCUCAUAUUGGAACGAGCACAACUGGCUCUUCCACGUUUAACGUUCUUGGCAUUGAUUGCAUGCGGGACAAAACUCUGCCCACUGGAUCAGGCGGAGGGCAUCCCUGCAAAAGCAUUUGAGACAACUACAAUCUGGAAAACUUUACUCUGCGUGUUCUCUUUGUGUCUUCUGAGCUGCCAGAAGUCGUUGGAGUUAAAAAUAGUUGGCUUUGCGCUGCAGAUGCUAUGGAAAGAGCAGUGCUACCUGGUGACGAGUCUGGCGUUACUCGCACCUCAAAUCCUGCAGGCCUGUGAAAAGCAACACUGCCGGGGAUCUGGAAGGGCGAAUCUCCUCUAAUCUCUCCUCUCCUCCUCUCCUCUCCUCUCUUCUCCUCUCC